GGGCGUCUUGCUGCUGCUGCCGCCGUUCCUGUCGCGAACGGCCGUGGUUCGUAUGAGGAUCGUGGCUGCUUUAAUGGUUUCUAGGCAAAUCAGGAACGUUUUCCAAGAUUUGUGAGAAGACGCGUGAUGCUGUGCUUUCUGCUCCUGACGCUCCACUGGACUACAGUCACUGCAGCACUGCAGCCAUCCACACGCACUGCCGCCCUGCAGGAAGAUGGAACAAGGCCAUAUAUUUACUACUGUCGGUCACCCAACAUGGAGAUCUUCACCUGCUGGUGGCAGCCGAUUGCUAAUCAGGACAAUGUCACGUACACGCUCCUAUACACCACAGGUGAACACGCUCCUCAGGAGUGUCCCGAUUACGUGAGCGGUGGCAUCAACAGCUGCUUCUUUGAUGCCAAACACACUCAGAUCUGGGAGAUGUACUGCAUGAACGUGACGGCACACACGCGCACUGGGCCCAUCACCUCCCAGAAACACUGCCUGGAUGUGGCCGAUAUAGUGAAGAUCGACCCGCCUUUUAACUUGACAUACAUCAUGCUGAACGAGAGCAUCAGUGAAUCCGGGCGCAGUAUUUUGUUGUCAUGGUUGUAUCCAAUUGCAUCUCAAGUGCGUGAGGGAUGGAUUACGCUCAUCUACGAGCUACGCUAUAGACAUCUCGCUCAGCCAGACAACUGGAGGGUGAAAGAGCGUUUGCGUGAGCCUCAUGUGUAGUUGUUGGAUCUGCCGGUGGGAACGUAUGAGUUCAUGGUCCGCUGUCGCUCCACCAACAGCAAACACUGGAGCACAUGGAGCGAGUCCAUCAACAUCACCAUCAGCGGCAGACCUCUGUCCGAUCGGAUGUUGGCCUUCAUCCUUGUGACCAGCAUUGCCUUUAUGGCCUUCCUCAUAAUUGGUUUUGGGAUCGUCCCA